UACGUAGGGUGCGAGCGUUGUCCGGAAUUAUUGGGCGUAAAGAGCUCGUAGGCGGUCUGUCGCGUCGGUCGUGAAAACUUGGGGCUUAACCCUGAGCUUGCGGUCGAUACGGGCAUGACUGGAGUUCGGCAGGGGAGACUGGAAUUCCUGGUGUAGCGGUGAAAUGCGCAGAUAUCAGGAGGAACACCGGUGGCGAAGGCGGUUCUCUGGGCAUUACCUGACGCUGAGGAGCGAAAGUGUGGGGAGCGAACAGG
rnacentral:rRNA from 1 species